CCUGUCUGCUGCUCGCACCCAUACGGCCAACUCACACUUGCAGGACUUCUCGCGGGUGCCUCCUUUCCUUUGGAAUUGCCAGCCUACAACCAUCAAGUUCUCCCCUAGUCUUCAAUCAUUUAAAAAGUGCCUCAAAACCCAUCUCUUUAGGAAAGCUUAUGGCCUACCAGAGAAACCUUUACCUCACAUACCCGUCCCUCGCUCUCUCCUAAAGUGCAGCACUCUACUCUCUCCUCCAGCUCUGCUUCACCCCACCUUGCGUGAUUGCUACCAUCUGUCCUGUUGGGUUUUACGCCCCACCUCCUAUAGACUGUAAGCUCAUUUGAGCAGGGUCCUCUUCAACCUAUUGUUCCUGUAAGUUUUUGUAAUUGUCUAAUUUAUUGUUAAAUCUCCCCCUUUGAUAAUAUUGUAAAGUGCUAAGGAAUAUGCUGGCGCUAUAUAAAUAC